CUUUUGUACGGUGUGGAAGCUUUGUUUCUUCGCUCUUUGUAGUAAAUUUUGUUGCUGCUCACCGUUCCUUUGGGAGCUGUAGCAUUCACCGCCAAAGUUUGCAGCUUUAUUCUGGAGCCAGAGAGACCACGAAGCCGCCGGGAGGAAUGAGUAACUGCAGAUGCGCCGCAUUAAGAGCUGUAAUACUCACCGGGAAGGUUCGCAGCUUCAGUUCUGAGCCAGCGAGACCACGAAGCCGCAGGGAGGAACCAACAAUUCCAGAUGCGCUGCCUUAAGAGCUGUAACACCGCGAAGGUCUGCAGCUGCACUCUUCAGCCAGCGAGCCACGAACCCAGCCGGAAGGAAGAAACUCCAAACACAUCUCCACAUCAGAAGGAACAAACUGUGGACACGCCGCCUUUAAGAACUGUAACACUCACUGUGAGGGUGCUUGGCUUCAUUGUUGAAGUCUGUGAGACCAAGAACCCGCCAUUUCUAGGCACAAUGUCUCAUUUUCUCUCAGCCAUUCCAGACUUUACUACUAAUCUACUUUGUUUCCAGAGAUUUGCCUAUUAUCAAUAUUUCACAAAAGGAUCAUAGAAUAUGUGCACCAUGGGCUCCUCUGCUCCUGCCCCAGUGUAUACAGGUCUUCACGUAGAGGGCAGCAAUGUGUUCUGUCUGCACAGAGGCUCUAGCUUGGACGAGCUCUAUAAAGAGCCAUGCGAACAUGUGCCUGCUUCCCCUUUGCCUUCUGCCGUGAUUGUAGGUUUCCUGAGGCCUCUCCAAAAGCAGAAGCCUGUACAGCCUACAGAACUG
rnacentral:lncRNA from 10 species